rnacentral:rRNA from 1 species
UACGUAGGGUGCAAGCGUUGUCCGGAAUUAUUGGGCGUAAAGAGCUCGUAGGCGGUCUGUUGCGUCGGCUGUGAAAACCUGGGGCUCAACCCCGGGCCUGCAGCCGAUACGGGCAGACUAGAAUUCGGCAGGGGAGACUGGAAUUCCUGGUGUAGCGGUGAAAUGCGCAGAUAUCAGGAGGAACACCGGUGGCGAAGGCGGGUCUCUGGGCCGAUAUUGACGCUGAGGAGCGAAAGCGUGGGGAGCGAACAGG